rnacentral:lncRNA from 1 species
AUCAGAUGUGUCCAGUACGUGAAUACAUCUUUUAAAAAUGUUUUGAGUGAUUACUUGUGCACUUCCAGGAGUUGACAAAGAGACGUGCUAAGAAGAAGAAGUCUUGCCUCAGAGAUCAACUUCAGAGCCACAAAGAACAGAUGUAAAACGUAUAAGAGGAAACCUUAAGAUAGAAGCAGAGAAUCAGAUCAGUAGAGAACACAGCGCGGCGUGAUGAUGCAUCGCAGCACAACUGUCACCGUCAAGAUCUAUGCAUGAAGGGGAAACACAUCUGCCUACAAAGAUUCCACCUCAACACACUGAAGCAGGAUUACAUCAUGACCUACGCAUCAG